GAGAAAACCUCUGCUCCCCCCUCCGAGGGGACCCCUCCCAUCCAGGAGGAGGGGGGAGCUGGAGUGGAUGAGGAAGAGGAGGAAGAGGAGGAAGAGGAAGGAGAAUCUGAGGCAGAACCUGUGGAGCCCCCCCCCUCAGGGACCCCACAGAAGGCAAAGUUCUCCAUUGGAAGUGACGAGGAUGACAGUCCAGGCCUCCCCGGGAGGGCUGCUGUCACCAAGCCCCUGCCCUCGGUGGGCCCACACACUGACAGGAGCCCCCAGCACUCCAGCAGCUCCCCCAGCCCCCGGGCCCGGGCCUCCCGACUCGCUGGGGAGAAAAGCCGGCCCUGGAGCCCAUCGGCCAGUUAUGACCUGCGGGAGCGACUGUGCCCAGGCAGUGCCGUGGGCAACCCAGGUGGUCCAGAGCAGCAGGUGCCCACAGAUGAGGCGGAGGCCCAGAUGCUGGGUUCUGCAGACCUGGAUGACAUGAAGAGUGA
rnacentral:lncRNA from 1 species